UAUUAUCCUAGUCUGACCUCUGCUGCCCUCACAGCUGGGGGCUGGGCCCAUGGCAGCCCCCGUCUGGAGGGUCCACUGGUGCCCUGGGCCACCCACUCUCCACUUUCCCCCACCUGGACCCCAGAGAACAAUUGCAAGAUCGUGAGAUGGAAGAAAUCUUGGGAUGGGGAUGAUCUGGUGGGACUUUCUCAUUCAUGAUGAGGUUCUACCUAUGGGUGCAACCUCCGCUUGGAAUUGCCACGUCUUCUCCCAGGACCCAGAUCUACAGGAUGGCAAGAAAACUCUACUUUUAUUUAUUUGUUUGUUGGUCUGCUCGUUUUUGACAUAUCUCAAACAAGGUUUAAG